rnacentral:rRNA from 1 species
AUGAUUUUGACAGAGGUGGUUUCUUUGGCUGAUGGCAGGAAAUGGCUGAUCUCUUCAGUAUAUGGACCCCAAGAUGAUGUAGAUAAAGUGAGAUUUUUGGAAGAAAUUGUGCUGUUUGGUGAGCAAGUCCGCCUGCCCUGGAUCCUGACCGGAGACUUCAACCUGGUGUGCAACGGGGCAGAGCGCAGCUCCGGGAGGGGGAACAGAAGACUGAUGAACAAGUUCAAACACACCAUCAAUAGGUUGGGUCUCCAUGAUAUGCCUAUGGUAGGGAGACGCUUCACGUGGUGCAAUCAGCAAGAGCACGCUAUCAUGGCUAGGCUUGAUCGGUUACUG